ACCUGGUUGAUCCUGCCAGUAGUCAUAUGCUUGUCUCAAAGCUUAAGCCAUGCAAGUGUAAGUUCACGCCACGCAUUAGAAUGGGUGAAACCGCGAAUGGCUGAGGAACCGGACCUAAUCCUCGGGACCGUAAUCCUCCUCAGACGCGAUGGAUAACUGUGGCAAUUCUAGAGCUAAUACAUGUGACACAGGCCGCGAUCGGCCGUCGCGUCGUGGUCGCCUCGCCUCGCGCGCUGGCACCCGCGGCGGCCGUCUUGGGUCGCGGCGCUACAUAUUAGACUGAGACCGAUGCGCGAUUUCCGUCCUCCCGUCGCGGGCUUCGGUUCGCGUGCGGGACCAAAGGUCGGCGCGCUCCGCUUUGGUGACUCUGGAUAACUCACUGGUCGAUCGCACGGGCUUCCACGCCCGGCGACGGGUCCCUCGAGGGUCCGCCCUAUCAACUGUCGACGGUCGGUUAAGUGCCUACCGUGGUUACUACGGGUAACGGGGAAUCGGGGUUCGAUUCCGGAGAGGGAGCAUGCGAAACGGCUACCACAUCCAAGGAAGGCAGCAGGCGCGCAAAUUACCCACUCCCGGCACGGGGAGGUAGUGACGAAAAAUAACGACGCGGGACUCUGUCGAGGCCCCGCGAUCGGAAUGAGUACACUUCAAAUCCGUUAACGAGGACCAACCGGAGGGCAAGUCUGGUGCCAGCAGCCGCGGUAAUUCCAGCUCCGGUAGCGUAUAUUAAAGUUGUUGCGGUUAAAAAGCUCGUAGUCCGAACUCGGGUUCGUGGUCGCUCACGCGGCCCCGGGGCGGCGGCGCCAUCGUCCAUCGUUGACUUUGGUCGUCCGUUCGCAUUCCCGGCCCUUUCCGCCGGUGUCGAUCGCUGUAUAGACGGCCGCGGGUGUMGCUGGUGUCUGGCGCGUUGUGGCGUGCGUCUCUCUUUUUUCCCGUUCGUGGCUCUUCGGGGCCGGCUUCGGUCGACUUCGAUCACCGCGUCGGGUUUCUCGAGUCUCGUUGCGUCGCUUCCGGGUCUUCGGGCUCCCUCUCGCCACGCAAGCUCGYGUCGCCGUCGGCGAUUUCUCCUCCAAGGGUGCUCUUAACCGAGUGUCCGCGGCGGCCGGUACGUUCACUUUGAAAAAAUUAGAGUGCUCAGAGCGGGCUGUUCAAGCUUGCAUACGAUAAGCAUGGAAUGAUGGAAGAGGGCCUCGUCUACGUCUGUCGGUCUCCGUCUACGGCGAGGCAAUGAUCGAAGGGAGCGGUCGGGGCCACUCGUAUUGCGACGUUAGAGGUGAAAUUCUUGGAUCGUCGCAAGACGAACUGCAGCGAUGGCGUGUGGCAAGCACGUUUUCCUCGAUCAAGAGCGAAAGUCGGAGGUUCGAAGACGAUCAGAUACCGUCGUAGUUCCGACCGUAAACGAUGCCGACCGGCGAUCCGCCGGCGUUCGCUUCCAUGACCCGGCGGGUAGCCUGCGGGAAACCAGAGUUCGGUUCCGGGGGGAGUAUGGUUGCAAAGCUGAAACUUAAAGGAAUUGACGGAAGGGCACCACCAGGAGUGGAGCCUGCGGCUUAAUUUGACUCAACACGGGAAAACUCACCCGGUCCGGACACCGGUAGGAUUGACAGAUCGAUAGCUCUUUCUCGAUUCGGUGGGUGGUGGUGCAUGGCCGUUCUUAGUUGGUGGAGCGAUCCGUCUGGUUGAUUCCGAUAACGAACGAGACUCCGGCCUGCUAACUAGUGCGCCGAUGUGAGUGCGGCCCUUCGCUGGUCGUGUGCGGGCGUGCCGGGCCGAUUUUUGAUCGCGCUCCGGUCGCGUCCGGGUCGGUUUCUCACGCACUUCUUAGAGGGACGGGUGGCAGAAAGCCACACGAGGCGGAGCGAUAACAGGUCUGUGAUGCCCUUAGAUGUCCGGGGCCGCACGCGCGCUACACUGGAGGUAUCAGCGGGGACUUCGCCCCGGCCCGAGAGGGUCGGGAAACCUCUCAACCACCUCCCGUGAUAGGGAUCGGGGCCUGUAACCAACCCCGUGAACGAGGAAUUCCCGGUAGGCGCGGGUCAACAGCCCGCGUCGAUCACGUCCCUGCCCUUUGUACACACCGCCCGUCGCUACUACCGAUCGAACGGUCCGGUGAGGUCCUCGGAUCUGGCCGACGACGCCGCCGGGCGCGGGCCUUCACGGGUCCCGCCUCGGCGUUCGAUGCCUGGAGAAGACGACCGAACCCGAUCGUUUAGAGGAAGUAAAAGUCGUAACAAGGUUUCCGUAGGUGAACCUGCGGAAGGAUCAUUA
rnacentral:rRNA from 1 species